rnacentral:rRNA from 1 species
UACGAAGGGGGCUAGCGUUGCUCGGAAUUACUGGGCGUAAAGCGCACGUAGGCGGCUCUUUAAGUCGGUGGUGAAAUCCUGGAGCUCAACUCCAGAACUGCCUUCGAUACUGGAGAGCUUGAGUCCGGGAGAGGUGAGUGGAACUGCGAGUGUAGAGGUGAAAUGCGUAGAUAUCUGCAGGAACACCCGUGGCGAAAGCGGCUCGCUGGACCGCAACUGACGCUGAGGAACGAAAGCUAGGGGAGCAAACAGG